rnacentral:rRNA from 1 species
GACGAACCGUACGAACGUUAUUCGGAAUUAUUGGGCGUAAAGGGUGCGUAGGCGGCGCAGUAAGUUGGGUGUGAAAUCCCUCGGCUUAACCGAGGAAUUGCGCCCAAAACUACUGUGCUCGAGGGAGAUAGAGGUGAGCGGAACUUAGGGUGGAGCGGUGAAAUGCGUUGAUAUCCUAAGGAACACCGGUGGCGAAAGCGGCUCACUGGAUCUCUUCUGACGCUGAGGCACGAAAGCUAGGGUAGCAAACGGG